AAGCCUGUGAAGGGGAGGCGAAACUCAAAAACCGGUACCCAGUUCGGAUUGUAGGCUGCAACUCGCCUACAUGAAGUCGGAGUUGCUAGUAAUCGCGGAUCAGAAUGCCGCGGUGAAUGCGUUCCCGGGUCUUGUACACACCGCCCGUCACACCAUGAGAGUCGAUAACACCCGAAGCCUGUAGUCUAACAGCAAUGAGGACGCAGUCGAAGGUGGGAUUGAUAAUUAGGGUGAAGUCGUAACAAGGUAAC
rnacentral:rRNA from 1 species